GUGUGUGUGUGUGUGUGUGUGUGUGUGUGUGUGUGUGUGUGUCUGUGAGAGACAUUAUUUCAUUGAGGGCGAGCGAGAACAGCUGGAGAAUGAGAAUGAGAGAGGGAGAGCGAGAGCGAGGCACUGAGCGUGUGCAGAUCAGUCAGUCAGCAGACGCAGUAGAAGUGAGACAGAGCAGAACGGGACGAGGACGUGCUUUACCUUCAUAAACAAACAAACAAACCAACAAACAACCAAAGCGACGAAGGGGCUUCAGUUUGAAGACAAACAGGUGUGUGUCUCCAUGGCGACAGGUGUGUGUGUGUUGCUGAGUGUGUAUGUUGGUGUGUGUGCAGCAUUUAACCUCGACACGGAGUUUCCACUGCUGAAGACGGGAACCGAUAGAAGUCUGUUUGGACUCUCUGUGGCUCUGCACCAAAACCUGAGGACAGACAGUUACCUGCUACUGGUUGGAGCUCCGAGGGAGAAGGCCGAGCCAAAUGUUCCAGCCAAGCAAACAGGAGGAGUUUACAGCUGCCCGAUCACUGCCAACCAAUCAGACUGCAGCAGGAUGAAGCUCAUAGAUCCAGACUUCAUCCUGUCUGACGACCUGAUUGAAGACAUGUGGUUGGGAGUCUCAGUAGCCAGUCAGGGCCGACCUGGGGGGCGGGUCUUGGCAUGUGGUCAUCGGUUUGUUAAACUCUAUGGAGCAUUUCAACUCAGACACAUGAUUGGCCGAUGUUAUCUCCGUGGAAACGACCUCCGGUAUAAUGAGAGCGAUUUCCACUGGCAGAACCCGGACCAGGCCUGCAGUCACCUUGGUGAUGUCACAGGUGAGGUCAUGUGUAACAUGGGGAUUUCAGCCUCCAUCACGCAGACGGAGGUCAUCGUCGGCUCACCUGGAAGCUACGUAUGGCAAGGAAACGUCCACGUCUCCUGGACAAACCCAGAUGUUGAGUUUGACACGCAGAGAAGCUCCUUCCCCGACCUAGAUCGCAGGAACAUUUAUAUAGGAUAUUCAGUCACUCAGGCUCAUCGCGUUCUCUCUGAGGAUGAUGAAACCAUCAUAACAGGAGCUCCAAAGGACAGUAAAGACGAUGCUUGUGGCUCAGUCCUGCUGGCGGUCAAGCGUUCUGGUAAACUGGUGAUCCAGCAGACCCUCCGCGGCCAGCAGACGGGUUCGUACUUUGGUAACGCCGUGGCAACCGCCGACCUCAACAACGAUGGGUGGAACGACCUGCUGGUGGGCGCUCCUUUCUUUUUCCAGCGUCAUGAGGAGGCGGGUGGGGCUGUUUACGUCUAUAUGAAUAGAGGAGGGAUGUUUGAUUCUGAACCCAGUGUGGUGCUGAGAGGGCCGGCCGGGUCAGCCUUUGGUAUGGCUAUUACUGCGGCUGGAGACCUGAACCAGGAUGGCUUCCAGGACUUUGCAGUUGGAGCUCCUUUCCACGAAACAGGAAGUGUGAUGAUCUGGACCGGGAGCAGUGAGGGCAUAUCUCCGCAGCCAAGCCAGGUAAUCCAUGGCAGCAGUGUGUCUCUUAGGUUCAGGACAUUCGGGUACUCCUUGUCUGCAGGUGUGGAUGUCGAUGGGAACAAAUAUCCAGACCUGCUAGUUGGAUCUCUGGAUGACACUGUCGCUCUGCUCAGAUCACGUCCAGUUGUCCAGCUGAAUAAAACACUAAGAGUUGAACCGAAAAUUGUUGACCCGAACAGCUGUGACUAUUGUGUUCAGGUGGAGGUGUGUUUCUCAUAUUUGUUCAGUAGAGGAGAGAAGAGCGACAGAGACAACAUCACCGUCCACUUCACUGUCACUGCUGACGUAACCAGCCUGAAGCCCCGCCUCCGUUUCCGUGACAAUGGACAGAGCGUGUUCUCCGGUUACCUAUCGAUGCCGAAGAAGCGGUGCCAGAAGCUGAGUGUUGGACUACAGAGUCCGAUCAGAAACAAAGUGGAACCUCUAGUGUUCUCUUUGAACGCAUCUCUGUAUGAAAAGUUCCCAAGGAAAAGAACUGCUGUGCAGGACCUGAGGCACUUCCCUGUGCUGAGCCAGACUCCCCGACCCAAGAGAAAAGAGAUCCACAUCCAGAAGGCCUGUGGUUCUGACAACCGCUGUGAAAGUAACCUGCAGAUGGCGGCCCAGUUUACCGAUGAGAACCAGAACCCCUUCAGCAAGCAGGAUGGCAUUCAGGUGUUGAACUUCAAUGGCAGCAUCAGGCGUUUGUUUCUGGAGGUGAACGUCAGCAACACGCCAUCUCCUGGACGACCAGCAGAGGACGCUCACAACACCCAGUUGAACAUGAACAUCCCGCCAUCGCUGAUCUACUCUGGAGUUGACAUGAAGGGUGGGGAUCCGGCUGCGGUGAAGUGUUCUGCUGAGAAUUCGGUUCUCAACUGUGAGCUGGGGAACCCUUUCAGAAGCAAACAGAAGGUUCAGGUGUUUAUCAAGUUCCAGCCAUCUGAGAUCAGUCUGGACACACGAGAGAUCCGCUCUCUGCUGCAGUUGUCCACGCUCAGUGAACAGCUGGAUCUGGCUCCGGUCUCGGUCUCCAUGUUGGUGGAGUAUUCGCUACAGACGUCCUUCACUCUGAUCAGUCCGCCAGGCCCCGCCUCCUUUAGCGGUCAUGUGAUCGGCGAGUCGGCCAUGAGGACUACGGAGGACGUCGGCAGUCUGCUGCUCUUCACCUUGCAGGUGACCGUCCACGGGAAGCCGCUGGGUCACCUGGGCAACCUGGAGGUGGAGUUUGAUUGGCCGAGGGAGGCGACCAAUGGGAAGUGGCUGCUGUACCUGACAGAGAUCCGACUGGACGGCACGUCGGAGCCUCGCUGCGAUCCGCCCGACGACAUCGUCAACCCCCUCAACCUCGUGCUGUCCGAGGAGAAGAAGAAGACAAAGAGGAGUCUGGAGGAGGUGAAGGAGGAGGAGCAGAGGGUGGAAGGUCUACCUGUCCUCCACCUGCAGGCACAGAACAAGAAGCUCUACACUCUGGACUGUGUCCAUGGUUUGACCUGUGUCAGGUUUGUUUGUCCUCUGAUCAACAUGAACAACUCAGCGACUCUGAUGGUUCGAGCCAGACUGUGGAACUCCACCAUGAUCGAGGACUACAGCGAUGCGAGGAGUGUGUUGGUUCGAUUCGGGGCGACUCUGAAGCUGCAGACCAACAAACCGACCAUCAACAUGGAGCCUCACAGCUCAGAGAUCCAGAUCCAGAUUUAUCCGGAGUCGGAUUUGCAGGUGGACCGCAGCGCCCCCCUGUGGAUCAUCGUGGUGUCGGUUCUGGCCGGGGUUCUGCUAUUGGCUCUGAUCUGCCUUCUGCUCUGGAAGUGUGGUUUUUUUGUGCGUCAGGGGGCGUGGCCAGCGACUGCACUCCACCAGGGGAGGAUUAUGGGUAAAGACGACCAGCAGCAGCAGUACACGGACGCUGACGGGUUCCUGAUCCAGAACCAGGGACGAAACCGGAGGUCACAGAAACAAUGGGUCACCUCCUGGACUGAGACUCACUGAGAGACUUCCAAAUCCACGGAAACACAUCCUGAACCAAGCCAAACUGGACCAAACCAGACCAGACCACUUUACACUAAAUAAGAUCAAACUAUACCAGAAUAAACAAAACUGGACCAAACCGGAUCAGAUCAAACCAAACAGGAUCAGGUCAUGCUGAAACAGACUGAACCGGACAAAAACAGACUAGACUAAAAUGAGCUGGACCAGACUGGAUCAAACCAGUCCAGACCAGACCAGAACAAAGUAGACCAAACCAGACCAGCACACUGCCAGUCUGUGUCUGCAGUUAUAUAAAAAAAACUCUUAACUUGUUUACAUUUAGUUCAGUCUUUUGGUGUGGAGAUGUGAGUUUUACAGCUGACAGCAGGUGAUUCAUGUUAUUAGUGUGAAUAUUUCUACAGUUUCGUUUAGCAGACACUUUUCUCCAAAGCAACAUACAUCCCAGAAUGCUCCUGGGCUCUGAGCUGCAGCCUGAUUGGAUUGCAGCCUGGUUGUUGAUGAUCACUCUAAAAGUCUGAGUGCUGCUUUAACCCUUUAAGACCCACCAUUGUGCAAGUCCGCCAGGACAUAUUUUUUACAUGCUUUAGUGCCAUUUUUUGGAGUAUUUUUAUUUGCUUUACAUCAAAAUAACCGUGAUAUCCCAAAUUUUAAUAAUAUGUAUUGACUUAUGUCUUAACUACUACAAAAAAUUGCUUAAAAGUGCAAUAAACGAUAAAAAAAAAUGAAAAUCGUUUUUGUUUUUUUCACAUAUAUUUCAAAAUACAGAAAUUGAAUAGCUGUAUCCCUCAAAUUUGUAAAUGUAAAAAAGUUGCACAAUAUCCUUUGGAACCACAGGAAAUUUAUUUGGAGUUUGUACAUAAUUUGCUUUUUGAGAUAUGGUCAAUUUUGUAACGUGUAAAAAAACCGAAAAUAAACAAAACUGCAAAAUUUGCAAACAGACAUCAACAUCAAAACAAAUAAUUUACAACAGUGCAAUCAAAUUUCUAAGUGUGCCAGAUACUUAUGAACACACAUAUUUUAUGUACAAAACCAUGGUCAGACCAUAAAAAGUGCAUUUGAAAAUAAAAUCAUUUUUACUGAGUUGAAUCAGAAACAGUAUUUUGAUGGUCUCCUGGUCCAAGUACUUGGACAGGUCUGAUGGAGAAGGGCUGUCCACAUAUUCUGACAGAGGUGGCUGGACAUCUGGCCUCCUUUUCGGCAGGAAAUGUGGCAGAGAAGGUAAGCUGUCAGGUUCCUUCUCAGUUUUCCAGCCAGCUGUAGGGAGCGCCUCUGGCCCGGAGCGCUCGCUGGUGGAGCGGCUGCUGCAGCGUCUCCUGGCUGGAGGACGGUCUGUCCCUCUACCUCUCGCUGGGGUACCAGGACAGCAGGAGACCUCCAUUCUCUCCUCUUCCUCCUCCUCCUCCUUCCCAACAUUGUAAAUGCUGCACACAGAAAAAGUUAUGUGGUACGUUAGCUGUGCGCAGCACAUGACUUGUAAACAUGAUGCGUAUUUUGCGCGGAAUGCUUUCGGCGGCUUUGCAUGUAUAUUAUACUUUCUUUACUUUUCUCCAACCCACAACAAACAAUUUCUCAUGAAUACAGACUUACAUGUCACUGGAAUGAUCAAUUCCUUCGAUAAGAUCGGCUUCAUCCGCGCUGGUGGCAGAAUCCGGGCCAGACGAGUGGCUGGACUCUUCAUCCGACGCUGUAGUUUGCUGGAGAGCUUCGCCAGAUUUAAAAUAGUUUGGUGCGACCAGGUUUUCGCAGCUCCUCAACUAAUGUGUGGAAGUGUGUCAAAGGUGUGUGUGGUGGGUCCGUGUACGGAUCUGGUAAUUGGAUUUUCCGUUCUGAAACAACGGGUAUUGAAAAACAAAAAACGAGUGGUUAUUUGAUUUUCGUUUUAAAAUACAAAAAUUAAAAUUGAAAUACAAGGCGUUUUUCCUUUUCACGAUCAAAAAGGGAUAUACGAUUUUUUUUAAAUGCUUUGAUUUUCGUUUUAUAUUUAGAAUAACAAGAAGUAAAAUCAGUAAGAGAGAGAAACGAAAAAAGGUCAGUUUUUUUCAUUUUCUGAGACCGGAAGUGGUCAUCAGCAAGUGUGGAGCCAAACGACAACAAGAUUCUCAGAGGGCGGAGCCAGAGAGCAGCGAUUGGUCAGACCAUAGAUAAUAUAGAAGACAGCGCGCUAGCGUAUCUAGUUUAUGUAUAUCUAUGGUCAGUACGUCUAGUAACUUCUCUGGCUGCUGUUGAUCUUAUUUUUGGAGUAAGACACGGUAAGAAGAUAAAUACUUCUAACCUGUAGCGUUAUUUUGUUGUACGUUAAGUCAGCGACUUGUGAAGAGUUGUGUUUUGUCGUGUUUGAGCAGUUGGUCCGGACGCGUUAGCUAGCUAAGCGGCUAAGUUAGCUAGCUAAGCGGCUAAGUUAGCUAGCGGGCUAAUUAACACAGGUGGCUAACUUACCGCUGAACACCUGUGUAAGUUGCUGCUGCAGUUGUCCUCAUUAUUAGAACGACCUUCUCAACCUGUAUUUCUCUGCUGUGUAUUUUAGCUUUUAAAAAAGUUAUUUUACUUCAAGGUUAACUGAAACCCGUUGAGCUGCACUGAAGUUUAACAUUCAGCUGCUUUGAAUUAAACCUCGCUUAACUUAACAUUGCGCAACAUUACCUCUCUGAUCUCCAUAAUUUCAUUAAAUUCCUUCUCUCUUCCACUGCUCAUGUUCAAUCCAGUAUAUAAAAUGACAUUAAUAGUGAAUAAACUAACAACCAGCCAUUGUAUUUAUUUAUUAUUGCAUGUAUUUGUAGUAAAACAUGAGAUAAAACAUCCUACUUUUGGAUCUAGAACUGCACAAGCCGUUCAUUUUCAGUCACCUGAUGAGUUAAACUCCCCUUUUUAUGUGAGGUUGAAGCAGAAAGUCUGAGUUAACAAAGAAAGUUGUUUAUAAUUUGCAAUACCUGUUAUCUCUGACUGAGGCUUAGUUUUUGUUGAGCCGAUUUACACGUAGAAACUUUGUUCAAGAAGAUUUCUCAGUAGCUCAGAGGACAGGCUGCUUUUUACACAACCUUGUAAGAGAAUGUCUGUCAAUGCUUUCAGCAGAAUUUAGAAACACAACACUUCCUAAACAGAUAUUUUGAGGCUGUGAGGUUGAACGUUUGAGAGUAUAUCAGUGUGUUUGUUUGUGGUCUUUCUGUUUCUAGGUGGAAGCUGAAUUAGUGAGGAUGACUCCUGCUCCUGUCAUCUCUAAGCUCCUCACACAUCUUUACCUGCACAUGAGGAAAAUCACUCCUGUAGAAUGCAGUGGUUCAUCAGAACCUCUGGGGAUGUCCUGUGGAUUCUGUGGAUCCUGUGGGUUGCAGGGUGGGUCCUACCUAGACCAGGCUGAUCCUGGACCAUCCCACAGAUGCUCAAUCAGAUCUGGAUGUGGAGAGUGUGGAACCCAGAUGUUCAGAGGGAGAUGAUGCCACAUCUGGUCCAGCUGAUGGAAGGUCUUGAAGUUCUCUGACUGGCCUCGACUGAAGAUGGUCGUCUCACUGGAUUUAAGGUUCAGAUGCUCAGUAACAAACUCCACCAAUGAGCCAACAGGGAAGCUUUAGGUUUAUUAAAUGUUGCUAUGAAGGUAUCGCUGUUUUUCUUUGUGAAUGCAAUGUGCUCCAACUGAAACUUGAAUUAGAACUUAGAAGUAAAUCCUUCCAUCUGAAAGGAUUUAGUUGCAUUAAUAACCUCAUAACAUUCUAAUUUUUAUUCCAGUCUUGGUUGGAAAUAGAAUCUCUGUAUUGAUUCAGGUAAAAACUGAACUUCACAGCAUGUUGGAGCAAAACAACCAGAUGAAAACUGUGAUGGUGUUGGAUUGUCAGACCGUAAUGUUGCAGCUCAAAGCAGCUUUUCUAUCUCAGUUCAUUCUGACAUUCAGCUAUGAAUCAACACAGCAGAUGGUGAUCCAUGCUGUGGAAGUCUCACAUCUCCUGAUUUAAUGGAGCUGCUUUGCACUUUUUACACUGUUUAUUCACCAACACUUUAUUUAAUAAAAGUCCCAUCUAGUUUUUUAUGAGGAAUGUGAUGUUUUAAUUUCUCUGUGAAUAACUGCAGUCUAAUGCAACAGCUGGAGUUGUAACAUCUGUCCUGAUAUUGAUCAUGAAGUAUUGAUCAGAAUACUUAUGGUUCAGCAGUCAUCCCUGAAGUUUUACAUUAAAAUCUUUACUUGUGUUGUGAACUUUGGUAAGAAGCAGAAACGUUAGCGUUGCCAUGGAUACAUGAGUGUUAAAUUCUGUCCAUGUUUCAUUUUGGGAAAUGCAGUCCAGUUCCAGAAUGUGGAGGAAUUUAGUCUCACAAUCACAGACAACAAAUAUUAUCUGAAAGUCGGGUUAUUGUUGUUUAUCAGCACAAUACAAAAAGAUUAAUGUUAGAAAUAUUCCAGUUAAGACUCUAGAAUAUCAUGAUUUAUGUAAAUUUACCUCAAUAAUAUGAAUGUUCAGGUUAAGAUUGUACAGUGAUAUUUAUUAUGUAAGUUUAGCUGAUUAAAGUUUAUGACUCUGCACUAAAAUAUUAUUUAAAUUGACAUCAUUAUUAUAAUAUUUAGGGUCAGACCCUACAGUAUUGAGAUUAAGAAAUCAAAUAUUCUAUAAAAUGUAAAUACACUGAACUCAUUUGGAUAUAUUUAAGUGAGACUCUACAAUAUUAUUUGACACAAAUCUAUCUAAAUCAAAAUUUUAAUAAUUUUCACGCCAAACAUUUACUGGACUGAUUUAAAUAUUAAAAUCACUCCUUUCUAAUCCUCUGCUGUACGUUCAAACCUGAGGCCUUAAAUAGAAACACACAAGUAUCUGAUUGAAGGAACUUCUGCAGAGUCCUGGUUCCAGAACAUGAUGAUAGAAUUAUAGACAAACUUUAACAAAAGCUGCCUGAGAGUUUACAGGUUUUUAUGUUAGAUUUCUUCAGUAAUUUAAUGAGAGUUAUCAGCAAAAAUCAAGUGUUCAUUUGAUGAACUUCAUUUCCUAAAACAUCCAGAAUUGGAGCUCAUAUCUUUGGCAGCUGUAAAGUUUCUGCUCCUUCAAAGUUCACAACACAAUGAAUGAAUUCCUAAAACACUCUCAAUGCUGGAGAGCGUUUGUGAUGCUGAAGCAGUGACCAGUUUUUCUGUUUCUUCUCUGGAGAUGCACAAUGAGGGACGUCUGCAGAGACUGAGAAAGAGUCUCACCACAUCCUGACAUGAGGAAAAAGACUUUAUUGAAGACUACAAUGAGAAAAACUAUCAGACAGCAGACGGCUGCAUUCAAGGUGAGCUCUGAACAUUUGAUCUGGAACAGGAAUUCAAUAACGGCAGCAUGAGCUUCAUUUCAGUCUGUAGCUGCUGAAUUCAUGGAUGAAUCAUCUGGCACUAGAGAGGAAGACCAUCAAACAUCCACGUCAGCUGAUGGAGGUCCAAGAGUCUCACCAAACAAACAACCUACAGAGUGAAGACCUCAAAUCUGAUUGGACGGCCUCCUAUUCAGCCACGUGUGAACAAAUGCCUCUAAGCUGAUUUGUUUUCUAAAAUAAAUCUAGUUUGAGUCCUAA